GUUAAUGAACUUGAUAAAGUAUAUGUUUUGAAAACAUAAAAAAAAGGUAAAAUCCUUUAUUAACUUU
rnacentral:tRNA from 1 species